UUUGCAAAGUUUGCAAAUUUUGUAUACUUUUGUAUUGCAUGUGAAAAUUGCAAUACAAAAGUAUACAAAAUUUGCAAACUUUGGAAGGCUGU
rnacentral:miRNA from 1 species